rnacentral:rRNA from 1 species
AGUGAACGCUGGCGGCAGGCCUAACACAUGCAAGUCGAACGGCAGCACGGCAGUAGCAAUACUGUGGGUGGCGAGUGGCGGACGGGUGAGGAAUACAUCGGGAUCUACCCUGUUGUGGGGGAUAACGUAGGGAAACUUACGCUAAUACCGCAUAAGAACUGAGGUUGAAAAGCGGCGGACCGCAAGGCGUCGCGCGAUUGGAUGAACCGAUGUCCGAUUAGCUAGUUGGCGGGGUAAAGGCCCACCAAGGCGACGAUCGGUAGCUGGUCUGAGAGGACGACCAGCCACACUGGAACUGAGACACGGUCCAGACUCCUACGGGAGGCAGCAGUGGGGGAAUAUUGGACAAUGGGCGCAAGCCUGAUCCAGCCAUGCCGCGUGGGUGAAGAAGGCCUGGUGUAAGA